AUUACUUCUUUUCCUGGUGGAGGAGUGAUGAGGUCUUGCCGGUAUAGAGGAGAAACAGGAAAAUCCCUUAAACCUGUAGCAGGCAGAAAACUAGUGCUAACUACUGAAUUAAGUCGUGAUGGUUAAAGAAAAAAAAUACUCAAACUCAUCUCUGCCACUUAGAAAGAGCUGAACUGGUUUUACGAAUUUUCCAUUACACUCAUCUAAAUACGGUGGGUCAUGUCUGACAUGUGGAGCAGCAGUCGAUCAACCCAAAAAGACCACUGCACAGUUGAUCCAGAGAACAUGUGGCACUACAAGGGGAAGAAUUUACAGCAGGCCAAAGUAAAGCAACGCUGUUACUUCAAAGUUCAAAAUGGGAGUUUGCACAUUCUGGAGAAACUUCCUGGAACGGAAGCAAUCUCAGGCAGAGGAGGUGACUCCUUCUGAUGAAGUCCUGCACGAUUUUAACAAAGCUCUGCAGCAGUUUACCUAGUUCCACUGAACUGUGUGUAAAAAAACCCAUGCUGCUGUUGCAGUCCAUAGCUAAUUCAACGUGUGAAUUGCUCAUCAAAGGUAAAUCCCCUAACUGAACACUCACCGUUUCGUGAACAUUUUUGCAGAUUAGAGGCAUCUACACACAUUUACCCAUUUCUUGCCUUAGUUCUGUACUCAGCAUAUCUCCUUGAGUUUAAGCCAUUAUAAUAAUUAUUUAAAUAAAACUGAUGCAGUAUCUAUCUAGUGAAAUUAAAGCAUGUGUUUUAGUAAGAUCAGGCAAAAAUAGUUUACCAAAGUCCUUAAUAUCAUUGGUAUUAAAACUCAUUUUCCUGUUU
rnacentral:lncRNA from 7 species